AGCGAACGCUGGCGGCAGGCCUAACACAUGCAAGUCGAACGGAUCCUUCGGGAUUAGUGGCGGACGGGUGAGUAACACGUGGGAACGUGCCCUUUGGUUCGGAACAACUCAGGGAAACUUGAGCUAAUACCGGAUGUGCCCUUCGGGGGAAAGAUUUAUCGCCAUUGGAGCGGCCCGCGUCUGAUUAGGUAGGUGGUGAGGUAAAGGCUCACCAAGGCGACGAUCAGUAGCUGGUCUGAGAGGAUGAUCAGCCACAUUGGGACUGAGACACGGCCCAAACUCCUACGGGAGGCAGCAGUGGGGAAUCUUGCGCAAUGGGCGAAAGCCUGACGCAGCCAUGCCGCGUGAAUGAUGAAGGUCUUAGGAUUGUAAAAUUCUUUCACCGGGGACGAUAAUGACGGUACCCGGAGAAGAAGCCCCGGCUAACUUCGUGCCAGCAGCCGCCGCCGUAA
rnacentral:rRNA from 1 species